rnacentral:rRNA from 1 species
UACGUAGGGGGCAAGCGUUGUCCGGAUUUAUUGGGCGUAAAGAGCGUGUAGGCGGCCAGACAGGUCCGUUGUGAAAACUCGAGGCUCAACCUCGAGACGCCGAUGGAAACCGUCUGGCUAGAGUCCGGAAGAGGAGAGUGGAAUUCCUGGUGUAGCGGUGAAAUGCGCAGAUAUCAGGAGGAACACCGGUGGCGAAGGCGGGUCUCUGGGCCGAUACUGACGCUGAGGAGCGAAAGCGUGGGGAGCGAACAGG